CCGGGCUAGUUCUCUAGGAGCCCGGCCAGGCCCACGUGUUUUCUUCUUCCCCGGGGAAAGCCCAGCGCCAGCAGGAAUCAGGUCGGGCCCCAUGGGAGCACCGUGUCCGGAGCUCCUGCAGGGAAUGAACACCAGGAGCCCCUCCGGCCCUCAGUUUCCCCACUGUGAGCUCUGAGGGCUGGGCUCCACCCCUGAUCUGACCUCACCUGGCGUCGGCCCCCAGCCUGUUUAAAAGCUCGUGCGGGUCAGGUUUGUGCCCGGGCUGUGGAGGGCAGCACGGCGUGGCACCAGCACUGUCCACUCUCCGGCACCGGCUGUUUGCUCUGCGCUUCUCUGCGGUUUUAUUUUUUAUUAUUAUUUGCGCUUGUAAAUUUAACUGUCUUCACUUGCUUUUCUGGCACGUCAAACUGCGCCGCCGAACAUCCGGGGAGCUGGGAUUCUUCACGUUGUCAAGCAUCCAUCCGCUGGAUUUCAUAACCCUACUGAACGAUGCUUUUCCUUGAAGUGUUAUUUAUUUAUUAAUUGUGAAAUAACUAUUUUUCUCAGUGUGACAGAAACAUAUGCUCAUUGCAAAAUAUUCAGAAAAUAAGCUCAAGGACCCGAGUUCUAUCCCCAGCACCAAAAAAAAAAAAAAAAGCACAAGGGAAAAUAUUCAGAAAAUAAAAAGUAUGAUAAGA